AAAUCUCACUGGGAUGCUUCACACGUCCUCGAGGAGCUGGCCUCCUGUAUAAAAUGCAUGAUUAUGUAGUUAUCGUAGCAGUCGAGUCGCACCUAGGAAGGGAUAGAAGGUAAAAAAUUAGAUGAUGUCCGCAAGAAAGUACCAGUCGCCUAAAGGGCGGGUCAUUGGUCGUGUAACUGACGGGUGAGGGCCACGGGAAAUCGUAAUGGAGCUUAGCCUGGCUCACGAUUUUCCGUGGCAUCACCAGUCCAGUAUCAGGACGAAUGACCAGCCGUUAGGCGGGUGUUGUUCACUGAGAGAUAUCAGCGAAUGUUCACAAGCAAUUCCGCGCAGGUGAGACUCGGUCUCUAAGAUAAAUAACUCAUCUUAAUUGUCAGAGGCCCGUACGAGCUGAAGAGCAAGGAUUUUACUCCGGAGCAAAAGGCCGGACCUUGCCCCCCCCUUGGCAUAGCGAUUACGAGCAACACUAGCCCCCUUUUUUUUUUCGGAGCCUGGAGCACAGGAGUUAGCAUGGGGGUUAUUAGCGCGGUUCGUCAAAUAUCUUGGUUAAGUCAGACAGCUAGCGCAACCUAGGUCCUUAGUUGCUACCCGGCGUUGAGGAUCAAAGGAGACCCCGGUACAAUCCGCGAGGAAGGUGGGGACGACAUCAAGUCCUCAUGGCCUCAGGGGCAAGGCUACACAUCGUGCUACAAUGGCGGUGACAAUGGGAUGGGAAGACUCAAGUCUUGGCAAAUCUCAAAAAUCCGUCUCAGUUCGGAGUGGGCUCUGCAACUAGAGCCCAUGAAGUUGGAAUCGCUAGGAAUUAGCGCUCAUCACCCCACGGUGAAUACGUUCCCGGGCCUGUACACACCGCCCGUCACACCAUGGGAGUUGGUUUUACCGGAAGACGGUGCGCUAACCCGCAAGGGAAGCAGCCGGCCAGGGUAGGGUCAGCGACAGGGGCGAAGUCGAACAAGAAACCAAGGGCGAAUUUGGGCCAGUUAACUUCAAUUAAGCAUGAUAUGAA
rnacentral:rRNA from 1 species